GUAAAAAUUUACUAUUCUCUAUUGCCAGUCUAUUCCCCGGGGCGUCGAUGUUAUCCUUAAGUAACAAGUUUUUAUUUUAUUAAAAUCGGUUUUUAUUAAUAGCAAUUUUUCACAUUAGACUGAAUUGAGUUAAAUAGGAAUGUAUAUUAAUUUGACUACCAUUAUGGUACAGUGGUGUUAGUAGUCGCCUAAACGCUGGAGAUCAUGGGUUUCAUUCCCACUAGGAGCAGAUUUGUAUUUGUUCAAAUAUUUGUUUCUAGUCUGGGUUUGUGUCACACUUGAUGUUUGUUACCUGAAAGCAGGAAGUUAUACGCCAAUACAAUACUUUGCCGAGUUGUAGGAUGUUUACGGGACGAUUCAUGUCAGUAUUAUACGGUACUAGUAAUAUUCUUGUCGUGCGAGUAAUAAAUCUUACCAUUACACUCAUUACAGUUUUAGAUUUUAAUUUCAGAAUAGGUAUCUUUUUGUUAUUUAAAUAACCCAACAAAGUUAUCCUUUAUGUUUUAAUUAAAUUAAAAAAAUAUAUAUAGACUAAGAAUUUACUCAUUUUCAUUAACCAUACAUACCAUUAUACUUACGUAUCAAUUCGUUGUGUUGUUUGUUUUUUUUCCCAAAUGGUAAACAAAGUAUCGGCUUGUGCGAUCGUUAUUGAUCAUUUGCUGAAAGUAGGUAGUCGUUAACAAGCGUUUCAGUUGAAAAAAUGUUGGGCAUGGUUUCCGGUAUGGGACUAUUUGUUUAUUUCCUCAUUUGGUUAACUCAGAAGUUGGCGCAAUUGCCGAGUCCGCCGCCUCCAGAUCUCGAACCAACCCCUCCGCAUGACCGGCAUAUGCCACCGCAAGAUGUACAAUAUUGAUAAAUCUGCAUUUAAACUCGACAUAAAUGUCGACAGUUUUUAUUAAAAGAAUAAAUAACUGCUAAGAUUUA